rnacentral:lncRNA from 1 species
UGCUUGUCAUGCCCCCAAAACUAAAAAGCUAGUAUGUAACAGGUUUCAUUUUUAUAACUCCCCUUUAUCUACAAAAAAAAUGAUAAGAAACAUUAAAUCUAGAGGGUCAUCCAUGUUCUUCGAAAAGGUAAAGGGAUAGCAUGAACAUUGAGAGAACACCACAACAUAAUUUCAAAUAACGAUUAUAGGGAGGGAUGGACACCGAAUGUUGAAUUUGAAGCAAAUUAAAAUUAAGUGAUCUAAAUAGGCCAAAGACACUCUGUUUCAGGAGCAAUUAUGAGUACGGAGUUGAGAAAUCUCAACCCCAUUCAAACUCGAACCCAAAAUUAUAUUAAGAUUAGUAUUAUGUUAGAGAAGAUCAUAUAAAUGGUGGAGGGAGACAUUAAUUUUAAGCAUUUAGAGGGCAAGACAGGAGUUUGCUAUGAAGUGUUUCUCUCUUAUCCCAUUAUCCUCAGAUGAACAUCUCUCUGCCCCAUACCACUUCUAAACAUCCAAACCAAACAAUGCAAUGAUAGGAAAAAUAAGAAAUAUGACUAGAAAAUACAAGAACGAAAAAAUUUAUCAAAUAUUUGGGGCUAGGGAGAGAGUAGAAGAUGGUAACACCAUGACGUGUUCACAUUUCAUCUCGUAACAUUUAUAUUACAAAAUUGAAAAGAAUAGGUACACGAACUAGCCGAAGGAGGUUCAACAUCAGUUACAUAUACGUAAAAAAUAAUUUUAAUUAUGUAUAACUAGUAUAAUUUUUUGUCAAAGGGAGUUCAGAUGAACCCCUAAUCAUAAGGUGGCUCUGCCACUGCUCUAUAUUAUACUUCAUCGCGCUAUAGAAACAAAGCGAGCACGUCAACAAAUUCAGCUCAAACAUAGCUGAAACUUAUUAGCAAACGAGCUCUAUUUCACGAGAUUGACGUAUUCAAAGGAAAAUAGGGGUGGUAAAAAUCUGAAGAGUAUUUUAAGAGGAGGAAAGUACAAAGUGCUGAACAUCAUGAGAUAUUCAUCCCUUUAUGUCCACAAGAACACUCCCUCGCCGGAAGAUCAUAUAAAUGGUGGAGGGAGACAUUAAUUUUAAGCAUUUAGAGGGCAAGACAGGAGUUUGCUAUGAAGUGUUUCUCUCUUAUCCCAUUAUCCUCAGAUGAACAUCUCUCUGCCCCAUACCACUUCUAAACAUCCAAACUAAACAAUGCAAUGAUAGGAAAAAUAAGAAAUAUGACUAGAAAAUACAAGAACGAAAAAAUUUAUCAAAUAUUUGGGGAUAGGGAGAGAGUAGAAGAUGUUAACACCAUGACGUGUUCACAUUUCAUCCCGUAACAUUUAUAUUACAAAAUUGAAAAGAAUAGGUACACGCACUAGCCGAAGGAGGUUCAACAUCAGUUACAUAUACGUAAAAAAUAAUUUUAAUUAUGUAUAACUAGUAUAAUUUUUUGUCAAAGGGAGUUCAGAUGAACCCCUAAUCAUAAGGUGGCUCUGCCACUGCUCUAUAUUAUACUUCAUCGCGCUAUAGAAACAAAGCGAGCACGUCAACAAAUUCAGCUCAAACAUAGCUGAAACUUAUUAGCAAACGAGCUCUAUUUCACGAGAUUGACGUAUUCAAAGGAAAAUAGGGGUGGUAAAAAUCUGAAGAGUAUUUUAAGAGGAGGAAAGUACAAAGUGCUGAACAUCAUGAGAUAUUCAUCCCUUUAUGUCCACAAGAACACUCCCUCGCCGUUCUAUACUCCAAAAAGUACAACCAAAAGCAAGACGAGGCUUUACUCAGAAUAGAAACUAAUCAAGUCAGCAACGCAAUAAGCAAAUUAUGGUCAUUACACAGCAAUAUGAAAAAAAAAAAAAAAUCAGGCGACAAGAUUAAUAGAAAAGGAAACAAAACGAACGAAAUGAAAUAAAGGUGAGGCGUGGAGGUCACAACAACAACAUAAAAAAAAUACUGCACUUAAGAUUGAAAAGAGGUAACCUAUUUUGGGGCAGCGAACCUACACGGUGAGUAGACGACAAUCAGUUUUCACACCACUUCGAUAUGCGAGUGAUAAAAAAAAUGAGAAUUAGAGUGAGUAUUAAUGACAACUGGAAAAAAUAAUCGCAAAGGAAAUAGAGAACUUAGUGAACCGGAGAGUGUGGUAAACCUCAAAUAUUCCCCCCUUUUUCCCUACCACUUGACUUAUGAUCUGAAGGGGUGAACAAGCCCCCUUUUAUAGGCAAAAUAUGGACUACAAUAGCUUCUCAAAGAAGCUUUCAAAAAAUUCAAAUUUGAUGUGCUUGAGAAGACAAAUUGCUGGUUGAUUCAGAGGGAUUAAUGGUGAAAAGAGAUAAAAGAAGAGAAAGGAGUCACCUUUUUGGCCGAUUUGAGAGACGAGUGACGGUUUGGAGGCGGAGAGGCUUGGAACCAUUGGUUUAAUCUCGGUAGCUGUCGAAUUGAAGGAAAAAACAUCUUGAAACUGCUGAUACUCAAUUCCCUCCUAUUUUCAGAAAUCGCAAGGCCUUGAACUUUGUUUUACUUCAACAAAAAAAUGAUGGAAAGGUGACAAGAGAGGACAAACGAGAGGAAAGGUGAAAACCACCAGAUUUCUUAAUUAUCCGGUGAUCCGAGUUUUGAUGGGCGUCCCUGGUUGAUAUUAUUGUUGUUUUGUCGAUAUUGUUGCUGGGGUUGUGUUACUCUGUUUGUUGAAAUUGUGAAAGGAAGGGUAAUGAAUGUUUUUUUUUUUUUUUAAAAGUGAUAUUACAUAAAACUUUCAUUAUUUU